rnacentral:rRNA from 1 species
GACGAACGCUGGCGGCGUGCUUAACACAUGCAAGUCGAACGGAAAGGCCCUGCUUUUGUGGGGUGCUCGAGUGGCGAACGGGUGAGUAACACGUGAGUAACCUGCCCUUGACUUUGGGAUAACUUCAGGAAACUGGGGCUAAUACCGGAUAGGAGCUCCUGCUGCAUGGUGGGGGUUGGAAAGUUUCGGCGGUUGGGGAUGGACUCGCGGAUUAUCAGCUUGUUGGUGGGGUAGUGGCUUACCAAGGCUUUGACGGGUAGCCGGCCUGAGAGGGUGACCGGCCACAUUGGGACUGAGAUACGGACCAGACUCCUACGGGAGGCAGCAGUGGGGAAUAUUGCACAAUGGGCGGAAGCCUGAUGCAGCAACGCCGCGUGCGGGAUGACGGCCUUCGGGUUGUAAACCGCUUUCGCCUGUGACGAAGCGUGAGUGACGGUAAUGGGUAAAGAAGCACCGGCUAACUACGUG